rnacentral:rRNA from 1 species
CGUAUAUUUAAGUUGUUGCAGUUAAAAAGCUCGUAGUCGGAUUUUGGCUGAGAACGGUCGGUCCGCCGUUAGGUGUGCACUGACUGGUCUCAGCUUCCUGGUGAGGAGGUGUGCUUCGCGGCCACUUAGUCACCGUGGUUACUUUGAAAAAAUUAGAGUGUUCAAAGCGGGCUUACGCUUGAAUAUAUUAGCAUGGAAUAACACCAUAGGACUCCUGUCCUAUUUCGUUGGUCUCGGGACGGGAGUAAUGAUUAAGAGGAACAGUUGGGGGCAUUCGUAUUUCAUUGUCAGAGGUGAAAUUCUUGGAUUUAUGAAAGACGAACUUCUGCGAAAGCAUUUGCCAAGGAUGUUUUCAUUGAUCAAGAACGAAAGUUGGGGGCUCGAAGAUGAUUAGAUACCAUCCUAGUCUCAACCAUAAACGAUGCCGACUAGGGAUUGGCGGAUGUUAAUUGAUGACUUCGCCAGCACCUUAUGAGAAAUCAAAGUUUUUGGGUUCCGGGGGGAGUAUGGUCGCAAGGCUGAAACUUAAAGGAAUUGACGGAAGG